CACGCAGCAGCAGCUCCAGCCCUGUCACCACUGAAGCUGCUGCUGAAAGCUGGGAAGCCGAUGUGAUAAGAAUGGGAUUGCUGAUCAGUGGUACUGAAGGUCUUGCAUGGUGCAGCAACUGCUCUGGUCAGGGCAGUGACUUCCUGCAGUCUUCCUCUUCACAUUCACAUGUGAAAGAUUCCAAACUAAUUUCAGGAAUGCCUACACAUCACCAAGUGUGCUGGAAGGCAACAUCAAUACAAAGCUGAUGCCAUCAGUGCUGUUUUAUUUGAACACUACUACGACUAGAGAAACGCUCUAACCUGCUAAUUAAGGAAUGGGAACUAAGACAUUUUAGCCAGCUUGUUAUCAAGACACCAUAGUAGACUAUAACAAGACUAUAACAUAUCAAAACAAAACAAAACAAAACAAAACAAAACAAAACUAGUGAUUUGUUGCUUGAAUUAGUUGUACCUGGGCGUCCAUGGCAAUGCUUCUGAGCGACACUGAUCAAGUCUUUCAAAACACAUGGAGAGUAGAAACGUGCAGAGUGAGUUGGAGAGAAAGAAACCCCAGGACCUGUCCUUUGGGUUAUGCUGGAGGUUCUUUCUCCUUUCUUUCCAUGCAUGCAGAAAGCAGCUGAUCUGAUAUGUUCUGCAAAUAGAUACAAAUACAUACAGAAGCACUGGGAACAUCUUGUACACAGAUGUGAGUCAGUACUUGGCAGGUGGCUAGUUGAAGUCAGAUUUCCCAGACAAUAAUUACAUUUUCUUGAAAACAAAACAAAACAAAGCAAAACAAGAAUUAAAGAAACAUGAGAAGAAGGACUAAUUCAAACCUGUCUGGAAUAAGAGCUCUUAUGUUAAAUUCCUUCUUCCUUCCAUGUAGUUGACUCUAUAUCACUUCAGGUGUUCAAAUACGUCUUGUGGGAAGGUCACAGGAAGACCCCAUUAUUAGUAUAGUUGCCCAAGGAGAAGGGCAUGUGCUACACUAUUCAUUCCCUUGUUCACUGUAGGCUGUAGAAAAACAUUUCCACAGCAAGACAACAAAUGCACCUCGAGAGCAUGUUUGAGCAUGAACUCAGGCACAUCUGCUGUUCCUAUGGCAAACAGCAUUCCACUUCCUCUUACCACCAUGAGAGUGUGUUUCAGGCUUAGAGCACGUUUUCUAAUUUCUGCACGAACAUCCAGAUGUUGUCAGAACCACAGAGCUGCAGAAGAAACCAGAGUGACAGACUUGAGCAGAUGCUAUAACCUUGGGACGAUUGUGUGAGAUGAGUACUACUCCAGGUCAGAAUGAUACUUGAGCACUACAGAUGAGAUGAUGCAAAAAAAGGUUUGAAGUAAUAUGCACUACAACACGUCAUCUAUCAGAAAGAGGGAGCAUACCUGAAGCUAUCAGUAGUGCAAAAUUUAUGAGAUGCAAAGUCCUCUCCAUGCUAAAAAAAGGUGUGAAGAGACUAAUGAAAAUUUAAGUGGAGAACUGAACAAAGAACUAAGAGCUGAGGAAAGUGGAAACUUCUCAUGACUGGUGAUAUUAUAUGCCAUGAAAGAUUGGUCUGAGAGUCUGGAGUUGACUGCCUUUGUAUAUAUUCUUCCAUUACACAAGAAAUUGUUUUUGAAUGCAAUCAAAACAUUGACCCUGGAUCCUAUCGCAGUUGACAGCGGUGUUAAGAGCUCUCUGUAAGCCAGCUGAGCAAAAAUAAUGAGACACCAGUGAAAGCUCAAAGCCAGGCCUCUUGCUUCUGACAGGCAAAUCCAGCAAAAAGAUUCUUCAGAUCUUGUCUUUCUCUGGUUCUAACUUUGAUGAGUUAACAUGUUAUUCGAGAUAUUUUAAAGUACUUUAAUUAAAUAAAUACUACAUUUUCAAAUGCCAAGUAGAUUCUUAUGUAAAAUACUUAGGAAGUUUUGGAAUAGAAGUUUCUGAAUGCAGGACCUAAUUUUACUUUUUCAGUGUCGGUAAAGAGAUCAGCUGUAUGCACAGCUACUACAGUCAUUAGUAUUGCUAUUAACCUACAGUUAUACAAUGGAGAAACAUCUUGAGAAAAGACAACUGCAUGACUCAACAUAGAGAAGAAAUCUUAAGACUGGAAGGCCUUAUGAUACCAAAUUCUAGCAUGAGCAAUAUCAUCCUCCAAGUAUUAGCAGGCCUUCCUGGGUGAGAUGUAAGACAGAUAUACAAAAAAAUGUCAGGAGCCUGGGAAGGCUGUUUUUAUUCCUUCUGAGAAUAAGGGCAUAAGCCCAACUGUGCGAUUUGAUGCUAUCCUGAACCAUUAUUAUUCUCUGAGUCUCAUUAAA
ensembl:lncRNA